GAAAUGACUUGAAUCUCAGCCAGGAUGAGCUCACAUACUUAAUGAGAGGACUGCCAAGUUCCUCUGCAGCAAGCAGGAAAGAGCCAGACCAGUAGCAGCUUGCUGGCUAUGGUGGGCGUCGUGGAAGAAUGCAUCCUUGAUGCCUGUGUCAACAGAGAACCUAACUGGAAAUCUAGCAUCGCUGUCAGAACAUAAAGCUGUCACUUUACCUGGGAGAAGUACCCAAUGACUGGAAACAUGAAAAUGUGACCCCAUUCCACAAAAUAUUCUAGUACAAUUACGGAGCUGGACAGUUUGACAUCUGUGGCAGAG